rnacentral:rRNA from 2 species
GACAGAUGGGAGCUUGCUCCCUGAUGUUAGCGGCGGACGGGUGAGUAACACGUGGGUAACCUGCCUGUAAGACUGGGAUAACUCCGGGAAACCGGGGCUAAUACCGGAUGGUUGUUUGAACCGCAUGGUUCAGACAUAAAAGGUGGCUUCGGCUACCACUUACAGAUGGACCCGCGGCGCAUUAGCUAGUUGGUGAGGUAACGGCUCACCAAGGCGACGAUGCGUAGCCGACCUGAGAGGGUGAUCGGCCACACUGGGACUGAGACACGGCCCAGACUCCUACGGGAGGCAGCAGUAGGGAAUCUUCCGCAAUGGACGAAAGUCUGACGGAGCAACGCCGCGUGAGUGAUGAAGGUUUUCGGAUCGUAAAGCUCUGUUGUUAGGGAAGAACAAGUGCCGUUCAAAUAGGGCGGCACCUUGACGGUACCUAACCAGAAAGCCACGGCUAACUACGUGCCAGCAGCCGCGGUAAUACGUAGGUGGCAAGCGUUGUCCGGAAUUAUUGGGCGUAAAGGGCUCGCAGGCGGUUUCUUAAGUCUGAUGUGAAAGCCCCCGGCUCAACCGGGGAGGGUCAUUGGAAACUGGGGAACUUGAGUGCAGAAGAGGAGAGUGGAAUUCCACGUGUAGCGGUGAAAUGCGUAGAGAUGUGGAGGAACACCAGUGGCGAAGGCGACUCUCUGGUCUGUAACUGACGCUGAGGAGCGAAAGCGUGGGGAGCGAACAGGAUUAGAUACCCUGGUAGUCCACGC